UCGAGCUCCAUUAGGGCUUCGGAUCCCAGACCAGCACCGGAUCCGAUGUACCGGCGGAGAUUGCGAACCCAAGGCAUGGAAGAGGCCGGCGGGAUCUUCCUCUGCGCGGCCUCGUGGCUCUCGCCAUCGCUCGACCCACUGUACAUAGCUAAGUCCACAAAUUCGAUUUAACAGAGUCGAAUCAAGCGAGUUCAGACUUCAAAGUUCGAUUACAGCUUCGAAUCGGAGACUAAAAAACCUAGAACUAGGGGCAUUUCUGAGUGAAAAGCCAAAACCCUUUGAUCUACGAGCUUCUGUGAAAAAUGGGGAAAUUUUUACAAAAAGCGUUUUUGCUGUGUCCUGUAACGACUGUUGCCUAAAUUUCAGUUACCUUCCCAAGGUUUUCU
rnacentral:misc_RNA from 1 species